CGUUUACUCUAUAAAAAAGUCUGGGAGAUCCAAGGACGGCGUAAGUUUUCCUUGCACUUUUCGUUCCCAGAGGUGACCGGGCCAGUCAUCAUUUACAUGCCCCGCCUAGAGCGCUUUUGGUUUCCGCUACGAGGAGAGCUUCAAGAUGGCUGAAGGAACUACAGCGGUUGUCUCAGGUUUUUCUUCACAAUUUCCAGAUACAGACUUGACAACAUCCACCACAAAAAGUCUCCAGCCUAUGAAACCCAGACUGACCUGGAAUUUCGGUGAUCUUCCCAUCUCAGCCUUGCUAGUCCAGAACUUACAAUGUCGACCAGACAGGCUUCAAACUCAGAGAUACGCCUGACCCUGCCACCCUAAAAGUGUGGACUACCACACCCGACACCAUUCCUUUCUUUUUAAAAACAGACCAAAACUCACUUUGGGUUGGGCUUUAUGGUGCAGACCUGUAAUCAACUCCAUAGGCUGGUCCAUAGGACCCAGUGUUCCAGGCUGCUCCAAGCUCCAAAGUGAAAGGAUAUGUCUGCCCAGGGGAUUAAAAGUGUUUAUUACCACCCCACCUGGCUAUUUUAAAAUUUUGAGAUUCAGUUUUCAAGACAGCUUGGGUGUGGAGGAAGGGAAAGUCUCUUAGAGGAUAUAGCAAGAUCUAAUAGGAGCAUUUGGUCAGACUAAACCACAUGGUGGUCUUCUUUUCUUGUCCUGACAGCAUCCAGGAAGGGUUACUAAGUACAGGAGGGGAUGCAGAAGGAUGUAGUGAAGGUCACAUCAUUCCAGGACAUUGCCCAGCCCUCAUGAUGAUGCUACACAGGAAGCGUGUGAACUCCUCCCAGUAGCCUGUGUGCGAUCUUCAGCUCUCUGUCACAGUGGCAAGUCUCUGAGAUCGUGAAUAUAGAGGGGGGCAGUUGUGUAGGCCUGCAGCUUUGAAGGUCCCUGUCUGACCAGAGGACGCUGUGCUUUUGGAGGCAGCACAUGGGGCAGUGAGGGUGUGGAAGCCAGAGACCCCUAAGUCCCUUCAAGAUCUUGUGAGACCACACAACAAGCUCCUGUAUGCUGUUUAUACUAGUAUGGGAUUUUCCUCAGAGUCGUUAGGAACAUCCCCUAAUGAUCCUACGAACCCCAAUUAGCAUCACUGUAUAUGAGUGCUACAUGUAUGUAUCUGACCCACACCCAGAGCCUCAGGCUCUCCCCAGGACAGAAGAGUGUAAUGGAUCCCCUGGAGCUGGAAUUACAGACGAUUGUGAGUCACCACGUGGGUGCUGGGAAUACAGUGCAGGUUGUCUGCAAGAGUAGCCAGUCCUUUUAACUGCCGAGACAUCACUUCAAGCCCUAAAAUGGGCCUCUUUAAAAAAAAAUUAGCAGUGAAUAAAUGUAUCUGUUUGUAUGUAGAUGUUGGGAUGGGUGUUCAUGUACCACAGCACCAUGUGGAGGUCAGAGGACGAAUUACAGGAGUCAAUCUUCUUUCCAGGCACUAGAUCCCUUGGAUUGAGGCUCAGGUCCUCAGUCAAGGUGGCAGAUCCAAUGAGCCAUCACUGUCUCCCCCGCCAUAUCAUUCAAUUGUUGAGGUUUUUCCAAUUUGCCUGAAAACCUGACCCUUCAGUCAAGCAUGUCAUCACUACCACUUCCACUGUCAUUUCCCAGUCUACUUCUCUUCCCCAUACAAUUAGAGCCAUCCUUUACUUUGUUUCCGGCUUCCCAUUUGCCUAGAUUAAUCCAGCCCCCAUCCUGUCACUCAAAGAGGCUGUCAUUAAAUAGAGAGCUGCUUUUUACCAAAUUCUCUGUUAAUGAACCUCCCAGAAGUUCCCACAACCUUGGCAGUACAGCAAUUUCCAGACCAUCGUGGUGUUCCCUGACCUACUUUCAUGAGUUCACACUAGAUCUUGCCUCCAUCUCCAAACGAUUCUAAUGCACCUCAUUCAGACUCAGGGCUGCUUGUGCAGAGUGGUAGGGUGUCCUCUAGGACUGUUGCUUGGACAAGGUAUCUCAAGGACAGGGUACACUUUGCCAUACUGACAUGUCAUCUUACUUCCAUGGUCUACACAAGUUUGAGCCACAAUACUGAAAACCACAAUCCCAAGUAAUCAAAACAUCUAAAAUCUAGAACUAUUAUUCUGGAAAGACAAUGAGAAUUAUUUAAAAGACAUCGAUGAUGUUUUGAAAUGAUCAUUUAUUUUAGAAACAUAAAAAGUUGCCAGAACAUUUUGUUGGCAUUCAAAUUUUGGUAAUUGUACCUUCCCAGAUAUUACAACGAAACUUCAUCAAAGAAUGAUACAAACAAAAUAAUUGUAUUCAGAAAGAUCCAGAUAUCAGAAAAAAUUAGAUGAAAAAUCAAGUAGAUUUUAAAAAUAAAUUGUAUUGAUGAAAACAGAGAAUAUGGCAUAGGAUGACUGGCAUCUGUGAGCCCUCAGCCUAAAGCCCCUGUCAUAGGAGUUCUCAUGAUUGAUGGUCAACCUGGCUUUUGAUGAGCUCCAUCAAAAGUCGCAACAGGUACCACUGCAUAUAUCAUCACUCCUAAGGUCCAAAUGUUGGAAAUUUUAUCCUUCACAAAUGAAGAUGUACCAGAAGGACAUUGCUUCCUUUAUGAAGGGACCACCAACAUUUCAAAUUAAUGCACAAUACUCGCAUAUAAACUCAAUGCUGUAAAUACCCUUACAGGUGUUAAUCUACAGCACAAACAAUACUAGAAUUCGAAUAUAAAACAUAUACACAUCAAACCAUAAAAGAAUGAUAUCGCACGAAUAAAACCAUGCUAUCAAGACUUCAAAAGGGAACAAUGUUACAAAUGGGAACUGGAGCGUAUGCUAUAGCCCCAUAGAGAAUACUUGCAUGGCAAGUUGACUUUUUGAAGUCUUACAGCAACGGAUACAUUGUUUUCUUCAAGUUAGAACAAACAAUUAUAUUCCUGUCUAUGUGUCUUUCACCUUUUUGGAAACGAUCCGUAUUGACUGUAUGCUGCUGUGAGCAGUCUGCAUUUACUUUUUGAAUACACUGGGCCUUGACUCAGUGAUAUUGGACAUGUGGAAAGUCCUUGCUGGACUUGUCACACACAAAUCGCAGAUGUAACAGCAGUGACACAGGCAGCAGCUGAGCAGCAACAAUGUAAAAAAGUGUUGCAUGUAGUUAGUGCCUUCUUCACCAUUUUCUUUGCUGGCUUUUCCAGAAGAGUGUCUUCCAUAAUUAAAGGCAGCAUGCAUUUCGUCAGACAGGUUUUUUUUUUUUUUUUUUAACUUCUGUAUUUAUUUCGAGGCAUGGUCUCUUUUCACAACCCUGACUGUCCUGGAACACCCUAUGUAGACUAAGAUGACCAGCCUUCCUCCAAGUGAUGGAAUUAAAGGUAUGGGCUACAUCCCCGGCUCAGGGACACAUUUUUAAAGCCCUGUUUUAUCAUUUCUUUAUUCAAUAACUAAUCCCUUUCCCAGAAUUUCGUUUCUAUUCCUGUGAAGUUAUUCAAAGAUACAUUUUCCAUAUAUUUAUGGAAUGAGAGAACAUUAUCACCUUCAGAACUAUCAUUGCAUCAUAGUCCAUUUUCCCAUGUCAAGGAGUCGCAGAAUGAUCUACGACAUUCCACAAAAAUUAAGGUAUCUAAUUUUAUAUGUUCAAAUUUUAGAGGUAAACUGAUCACUGUAGUUUUAUGUCGACACACUGUCCGUAUGACCUCAUCAAGAGCCUUCUUUAAGUUCCUUACUGUCUUGGUUGUCAGAUAGUAGUUACUAGGGUAACUUAUUAUUGAGCUUGAAUCAUAUAGAGACAUGGCCCUAUGACCCAAGUACGUUAUCUUUAUCACAACGCCUAUUUUCCCUGUGUAACCAGCAUGAUUUACCAGCAUCUGCUUUAAAGUUAGUGCCGUUUGUUUACAAUAGUUCUUUAACUUAGCACCUAGUUCCCUCAGAACAGUGCUGUCGUCUUCCAGCUCCCCAUCUCCCAGGACAAAGCUGUGCAGGGUCAGGAGUCUGUCCUGGGAAAUAUGAAGCAUAUCCAAGAUGACUUCCUGCUUCUCCUGUGAGCCAGGAUCCAAAGUCCAGGUCUUAGAGAUGACCAGCAUUCCUUGACGAAGUGAGCCCAGCUCUGUCCAAAGUAACCGCUCAUAUCGCUCAUAUUCUGAGAACUGUUCCAUGAAGAGGGCUUCUGGAGAGCAUGUCACCUUUCUAAACACCACUAGAAAAAUAAAUGAACAUAUCAAAUUAAAAAGAAAACUGCCAGGAGUGAACCAUCACCAAGCAGCUAGUGAGUUCCCCACUUUGCAUCACCAGAAGGUGAACACACAUGAUACCAAACAAUAAUAAUUCAAGAACAGGAGGGCUGCAGUUACAAGGGGGUCUUAGAAACACAGACUCUGCCAAGGGGGAGCCUGGGAAGUGGAUGAACACUCACACCCCCACCUUUUCCAUAACAGGGUGCAUCAGAAGCUUUCUCUGGGCAACUCCAUGACUGAGAAGAGUCAGGGGAGCAAAGGACAGACCUGAUGCUGAAGACAGAAAUGUCAGGCAUCAGUAAGCAUCAAAGAGGUGAUGAGACAGGAGGAAAGUGUAGAGAAACAGGAAGAUUCCAUAAAGCAAAGGAGAGAGCAGAACACAUUCCCAGAGAUCCAGGGAUGGAGAGAGGAUGCCUCAGAGGACACCACAAGGUAGACCAGGCUUCCCUGGCAGUUAACUCCAGAAGGAAGGAAGCCUGGUGAAGAAGUGAGUUUGGGCAGAGAUGAGGAAACUCUGAUUUUCAGAUGGUUGUGAUUUCUCCUACAGAGAGAACCAGCUCUGCAUAGUCUGUCUCCUGAUCAAGGCUGAUGCUCAUUUUGCAAGCACUGGCUCUGUUUCCAAGAUGACGUGGCUUCCUGUAAAACAGACAGAGGCGUUACAGAAGACGU